rnacentral:tRNA from 1 species
GCCCUCGUAGCCCAACUGGAAGUGGCAACGGACUCAGACUCCGUUCAGUGUCGGUUCGAAUCCGACCGAGGGUA